CACCUUACCCGCCGCCACGUCCUGAGCCGCCCAUCUAUGCCGCCGCCGACGACGGCCUGGCUCCUCCUCCACCCAUGCGCCCCCUCCCAAUCUCCAUAGCCUCCAACAACCAACUCCAUCUCCUGCCUCCUGCAACUAGUCCUGCCAGUGCGCCGCGUCCGCCGCCAGUGAAUGCCGUCCGCAAGGACUGCCCCUGGCCCCUCUGCUCCGGCGCUCCUCGGUCGUCCCCGGCCCUUUGCCUGGUCGCUAGGGACGUGCUGCUCCACGCCUGCUCCUGCCGGUGGCCGCCGCCUGCCGCGCCGGCUCUGGCGCUUUGCUCCUGCCAAUCCCGGGCUGCUCGCCUGCUCGGCCGGACUCUGCCGCCCAGGACAGGACUUGCUGUCAACAAACAGCAAGCAGGCUGGGACAGGGAAAAAGAAGAGGAAGAUAUAUUUCAUUGCAAGUUUCAACACCCAGUGUUUCAGUUGGACUGAAUCAACUCCAGAAAUUGGAACAACCAUAGAUUGAACCACCGCCUUUGGCUUCAAACAACCCGCCUUCAAUCUCAACUCGAGAAAAGAGACAUACCAUUUGUCCAGAAGUAUCAAGCAUUGGAUGUAAAGUGGACAACCUAUUCGGUACUGAAACAAUAUAUGUAGCAUGUAUGAAGCUGAAUCAUGCUUAUAACACUGAAGAGCACAGUAACUUCCAUAAUGCAAGUAAGUAGCUGCAAUCUUCCAGGAUUUUUUAUAAAUAAAUCAGCAACAUGCCACUCACCUAAGUUGUCUUUUCAGCGUAUCCUACCAUGCGCCAAUGAGGCAAGUGGUAGUGUAUCCUAAAAAUCCCCUUUUCCUGAAGGUGUAAACACAUGCAGCAACUGAUCGUGUGCAUUAGAAUGCACUGUUUGAUAAUUACUCUCUUAGGCCCUGCUUGCUAACUUUGUAAAAAUAUGCGACCGGCUACCCUUCAACAAUUGCAAGUCACUUGGGGACUGUUUGGUUUCCAGCCAAAUGUUGCCAGACCUAUGGUUAGGCACACAUAAUUUCUGAGGUGAGUGAGUGUUCGGUUGGCUGACACAGUUGUGACUUGCGACUUUACUAGUCACAUGAUUAAGGAGUAUAUUUUGGCCACACUUUUGUGGCAAGCCACACUCUGUCCUGAGGGGUAACAAUUACUACUUUUGGCUUAGUUGUGGCAAAGUAAGCUUUUAACCAAACUAGGGUGUUAAAUUGGUCUUAAGUUUCAAUCUAGUAUUGUAGAUCAUCACAUAUGUUCUCUGUUUCUUGUUCAAUGAUGUCUUAUCUGACUUGUUAAUCAGUCCAACUUAAUAUCCCUUUUCCUGUUAUCCUUAGAACAAAUAGAUAUGACGUGUAUGCAGUGCAGCCCACUAAUUAUUUAGAUUGCAUUGCAAACGCCCUUUUAUACAUGCUUUUCAUGUUUCAUUCAGGUGGCUGCACAUAUCCUCCAGGUUUCUGUAAUUGGGAAGGAGUGUAUUUCCAGGCGAUGGAUCGAGGUUGGAUGAGUCAACCAAGAGCUAGUGCUGCUUACAAAGAUGGUGUCGAACAAUUUCUGUCUUUUGCAUUCCAUGAUGUUCCAGCUGGUGAUAGAAUUCUUUGUCCUUGUGUAAAUUGCCGAAAUAAAGCUAUGCAGAGUUAUGAUGGAGUGAAAACUCAAUUGAGAUGUGAUGGUAUUCUUCAAGGUUACACUAAGUGGGUUUGCCAUGGAGAGGAUUACAGUGAACCAUCAUUUGCAUUUGCUCAUGUAUCAGAUAACAGUGGCAAUUUUUCUAUUCCUGGCAUCCCAAGGAAUGUUGUUGGAGAAGGCAACCAUGGAAGGAUGGAUGACAUGCCAGGACUCUUAAGUGCUGUCUUUGCUAUGGCUAACAGUUGUGAAUCUUUAUCAAGCACAUCUGAUGGUGAAUUAGAUGCGUUGAAUUUGAGAAUAUGGUACCUAAUUCAGUUGAGGAUGAGAAUGCAGAUGCUCAAACAAGGAAGAAACCUAAUACGUAUGCAAGCUUCUUGGAGGAUGCAAACACAGAGUUAUACCCUCGAUGUAAAGCAUUUUCUAAGUUGUCAUUUCUCAUCACCUUGUAUCACAUGAAAUGCUUACAUGGAUGGUCACAAGAAUCAUUUACAACGCUACUUGGUGUUUUGUCUGAUGCACUUCCACAGGCACAACUACCAAAGAAGUACUAUGAGG